GAGUGACAAACGAACGAGUACAGUGAACAGUGAUUUAAUGACUUUAGCGACUUGUUUUGCGUCUCAAAUGGAAAAUAAUAAGUCAACUUUGUUUUUUCAUCGAGUUAAAAAGAUCACGACUGACUUUGUCAACAAUAAUCAUCAGAGUGACACGAUGGCUUCUCCUACACCUUGUACCACGACGAGAAGCCCAACAGAAAACCCAGAGAAAAGGAGGAAAGGGAAAAAAGUCUCUGCUUUCUUUAAGAGAGUAUGGAAGGCUGCAAAGCGCCCUUUCCUUAGCUGUGACCAGAGCAGAGUGGUUCCCUUUGAACCACAGUCAGAUAAUGACUAUUUCGAGCACCUGCCUGUUCCAGGUCCCUCCAGGACCGUCGCAGCACAUGCAGACCCUGAGCCGGUGUUGCUGCCAGGCCAGGUCUGUGAAGAACCUCAGCCGUUGAGUGUUCCUGGCCCCACCAGGAUCAAGCAAACAGCAGAUGUGCCGAAUGCAGAUCGGGCCCGUCCUGAGUCCUCAACGGCCCUCACAGGUUAUGUUGACACUGAGCAGAUGCGUCCGCCAGUCCAGGUCUGUGAAGAUCCUCAGCCCUUGAGUGUUCCGGGCCCCUCCAAUAUUAAGAAAAUGACGGAUGCAGAUUCGGUCAGUCCUGAGUCGCCUCCGUCUGUUCAAGACCCCUCUAAAAUUGAUGGGACUGAUGAAAACCCCAAGAAAGGAAGGAAAGGGAAAAGAGUCUCUGCUUUCUUUAAGAGAGCAUGGAAGGCUGCAAAGCUCCCUUUCCUGCAUUUUACGCCACAGCCUGAGCCAGAGUCAGAGCCAGACCUUGAGUCAGUAUGUCUGCCAGGCCAGGGUCCUGAGGAGGCUUCUGGGCUCACUCGUGGACUCGAUCUGACUCAGUUUGAAGUCGGAGACCUGAUUGGAGAAGGAGCUUUUGGCCAGGUGUAUGUGGCAUCUCACAAACGCAGUAAAAGAGUAAAGGUUGCCCUGAAGUGCAUGGUGAAGAGUCAACAGGACCGUUAUCUGGAAGUUGAUGGUCAUUCCACACCUGUGCUUGCAGAAGUGGCAAUGAUGCUUAGGUUGAUGAAAGCUCCGCGAUGUCCAAACAUCAUCAGAUUACACAACUGGCUUGAGAUUGAGGACAACUGUGUUCUCAUUCUGGAGUACGCAGAGUCAUGCCAGACCUUGCUUCAGUACAUCAAAGACACAGCGGACAUUGAGGAAAACCAAGCACGCCAGUUAAUGCGUCAGUUGAUCCGAGCUAUAAUGUUCUGCACUGAGCGUGGAGUUUUCCAUGGGGAUAUACACACAGCGAACAUCCUGGUGACUCUACCCUGACUAGAGCUCAAAUUGAUCGACUUUGGAUGUGCUCAGCCAAUUACCCAAAAGCCUUUCAAUAAAAGUGACUAUCGAGGAGCUGGACAUGGCAUGCCACCUGAGGCUUUGAGGUGUCGUGUAUUCCAUGCUAACCCGGCAUACGUCUGGACAAUAGGCAUUAUGCUAUAUGAAAUAAUGCAUGGACGACUGGCCUUCAAUAACAGACAGUCAAUAAUGUUUGGCGCAAUUCAGAUACACCCCAGGUUAUCCACAGCAUGCGUGGACCUGAUUUCCCAAUGUUUGAUCCGUAAUCCAGCUAAACGGCUACAGUUACACCAGGUAGAAGAGCACUGCUGGUUCAAUCCAACGACCCCAAAUCCUGUGAAGCAGUUAUACAAGAGGAG
rnacentral:lncRNA from 1 species